rnacentral:rRNA from 1 species
GUGAGGAAUAUUGGUCAAUGGGCGAAAGCCUGAACCAGCCAUGUCGCGUGAAGGAUGAAGGUCCUAUGGAUUGUAAACUUCUUUUACAGGAGGGUAAAGUGAGCUACGUGUAGUUCAUUGCAAGUACCCUGCGAAUAAGCAUCGGCUAACUCCGUGCCAGCAGCCGCGGUAAUACGGAGGAUGCGAGCGUUAUCCGGAUUUAUUGGGUUUAAAGGGUGCGUAGGCGGACUAAUUAGUCAGCGGUGAAAUUUUGCGGCUCAACCGUAAAACUGCCGUUGAAACUGUUAGUGUUGAGUGCGGUAGAGGUAGGCGGAAUGUGUGGUGUAGCGGUGAAAUGCUUAGAUAUCACACAGAACACCGAUUGCGUAGGCAGCUUACUGGAGCGCAACUGACGCUGAGGCACGAAAGCGUGGGGAUCGAACAGGAUUAGAAACCCCAGUAGUCC